rnacentral:lncRNA from 1 species
CAUUCAUUAACUAUCCCCACUCUAUCGCCUCUUCUCAGGUUCUAGUGAUUCUCUUGCCUCAGCCUCCCAUGUAGCUGGGAUUACAGGCACCCGCCACUAUGCCCAGCUAAUUUUUGUAUUUUUAGUAGAGACGGGGGCUGGUCUCGAACUCCUGACCUCAGGUGAUCGGCCCGCCUCGGACUCCCAAAGUGUUGGGAUUACAGGCGUGAGUCAC